rnacentral:rRNA from 1 species
AUUGAACGCUGGCGGCAGGCCUAACACAUGCAAGUCGAACGGUAACAGGAAGCAGCUUGCUGCUUCGCUGACGAGUGGCGGACGGGUGAGUAAUGUCUGGGAAGCUGCCUGAUGGAGGGGGAUAACUACUGGAAACGGUAGCUAAUACCGCAUAAUGUCGCAAGACCAAAGAGGGGGACCUUCGGGCCUCUUGCCAUCGGAUGUGCCCAGAUGGGAUUAGCUUGUUGGUGGGGUAACGGCUCACCAAGGCGACGAUCCCUAGCUGGCCUGAGAGGAUGACCAGCCACACUGGGACUGAGACACGGUCCAGACUCCUACGGGAGGCAGCAGUGGGGAAUAUUGCACAAUGGGCGCAAGCCUGAUGCAGCCAUGCCGCGUGUAUGAAGAAGGCCUUCGGGUUGUAAAGUACUUUCAGCGGGGAGGAAGGGAGUAAAGUUAAUACCUUUGCUCAUUGACGUUACCCGCAGAAGAAGCACCGGCUAACUCCGUG